CCUGGUUGAUUCUGCCAGUAGUCAUAUGCUUGUCUUAAAGAUUAAGCCAUGCAUGUCUAAGUAUAAGCAAUUAUACAGCGAAACUGCGAAUGGCUCAUUAAAUCAGUUAUCGUUUAUUUGAUAGUACCUUACUACAUGGAUAACCGUGGUAAUUCUAGAGCUAAUACAUGCUAAAAACCCCGACUUCGGAAGGGGUGUAUUUAUUAGAUUAAAAACCAAUGCCCUUCGGGGCUCACUGGUGAUUCAUGAUAACUUCUCGAAUCGCACGGCCUUGCGCCGGCGAUGGUUCAUUCAAAUUUCUGCCCUAUCAACUUUCGACGGCUGGGUCUUGGCCAGCCGUGGUGACAACGGGUAACGGAGGGUUAGGGCUCGACCCCGGAGAAAACGCCUGAGAAACGGCGUUUACAUCCAAGGAAGGCAGCAGGCGCGCAAAUUACCCAAUGCCGACACGGCGAGGUAGUGACGAGAAAUACUGAUACAGGGCUCUUUUGGGUCUUGUAAUUGGAAUGAGUACAAUUUAAAUCUCUUAACGAGGAACAAUUGGAGGGCAAGUCUGGUGCCAGCAGCCGCGGUAAUUCCAGCUCCAAUAGCGUAUAUUAAAGUUGUUGCAGUUAAAAAGCUCGUAGUUGAACCUUGGGCCUGGCUGGCCGGUCCGCCUCACCGCGUGCACUGGUCCGGCCGGGCCUUUCCCUCUGGGGAACCGCAUGCCCUUCACUGGGCGUGUCGGGGAACCAGGACUUUUACUUUGAAAAAAUUAGAGUGUUCAAAGCAGGCCUAUGCUCGAAUACAUUAGCAUGGAAUAAUAGAAUAGGACGUGUGGUUCUAUUUUGUUGGGUUCCUAGGACCGCCGUAAUGAUUAAUAGGGACAGUCGGGGGCAUCAGUAUUCAACUGUCAGAGGUGAAAUUCUUGGAUUUAUUGAAGACUAACUACUGCGAAAGCAUUUGCCAAGGAUGUUUUCAUUAAUCAGGAACGAAAGUUAGGGGAUCGAAGAUGAUCAGAUACCGUCGUAGUCUUAACCAUAAACUAUGCCGACUAGGGAUCGGAC
rnacentral:rRNA from 1 species